rnacentral:rRNA from 1 species
UACGGGGGGGGCAAGCGUUGUUCGGAAUUACUGGGCGUAAAGGGUUCGUAGGUGGCUUGCUAAGUCAGACGUGAAAUCCCUCAGCUUAACUGGGGAACUGCGUCUGAUACUGGAUGGCUUGAGUGUGGGAGAGGGAUGCGGAAUUCCAGGUGUAGCGGUGAAAUGCGUAGAUAUCUGGAGGAACACCGGUGGCGAAGGCGGCAUCCUGGACCAUUACUGACACUGAAAAGCGAAAGCCAGGGGAGCAAACGGG